rnacentral:rRNA from 1 species
GCUUGUCUCAAAGAUUAAGCCAUGCAAAGGAACGUUCAACCCCAUUUGGGGAAGACGCUGGCCGGCUCAUUAAAUCAGUCAUAGUUCAUUCGACAGAUCACUCUACAUGGAUAACCGUAGUAAUUCUAGAGCUAAUACAUGCAUCAACCCCCGACUUUUGAAGGGGUGUAUUUAUUAGAUUGAAACCAAUGCGGGUUCGCCCGGUAUUUGGUGAUUCAUAAUAACUUUCGGAUCGACUUCGGUCGAUGCAUCAUUCAAGUUUCUGCCCUAUCAGCUUUGGAUGGUAGGGUAUUGGCCUACCAUGGCUUUAACGGGUAACGGAGAAUUAGGGUUCGAUUCCGGAGAGGGAGCCUGAGAAAUGGCUACCACAUCCAAGGAAGGCAGCAGG